rnacentral:rRNA from 1 species
AGAGUUUGAUCCUGGCUCAGAGCGAACGCUGGCGGCGUGCCUAACACAUGCAAGUCGAACGUGAAAUGUAGCAAUACAGAGUAAAGUGGCGUACGGGUGAGUAAUACGUAGGUAAUCUACCUGAGUGUCCGGAAUAACCUGCGAAAGGCGGGCUAAUACUGGAUAGAGCGAAGGGGUCUGUAAAGGGCCUUUCGGGAAAG